GUGAUCUAUUAUUUUUCUACCUACGUGACUUUACCGAAGUAACCAAGGAGUAGAGAACGGGAUAUUUAUUUAAACGUUUAAUUAUUGCGCUCUUGUUAUUUAACGUUUUAGAAAACGAAUUAGAUGCGCAACGUCAAUCACGAUAUGACGAUAUUGUACGCAACGGGGCGAUACGAUAAUCGUAGGCAUCGUCAUAUCGCGGGGAAUCUGACUUGGGUUUUUUAAAAUUAUUACUUUCGCCGAGGGAAGAGAUUCGACACCCAUCGAUUCCAAAAAUCGUCUCUUCUGGUUACGUGCUGGAAUCGAUUCCAUCCAUUCGUCACCAGCGUCCAGAGCUCCCGGCACGGAGCGGCGGCCGGCAACUCGGCGAGGAAUUCCUGCAUUGUGGAGGCGCGAUUAGACACACAGGUGAGAUUCUGCGAGGCUCGAGAUGACAGCUCAAGUCGCGAGGCUGCUGCCGCUGCUGUCCAUGGUGCUGAACACCCUCUGCGCACAGGCCAACGGUUACCAUGACGACGACAACCCAGACCCCUGCGCGUGGAACCCGUGCCGGAACGGCGGUGCGUGCUCGCGCGCGCACCCCCCCGCGCCCCUCCCCUCACAUCCCCCAGCGCCCCUCCCCUCACAUCCCCCGGCGCCCCUCCCCUCAGGCCC